CGACUUUGAUUAUGGCUCAGGAUGAACGCUAGCUACAGGCUUAACACAUGCAAGUCGAGGGGAAACGACAUCGAAAGCUUGCUUUUGAUGGGCGUCGACCGGCGCACGGGUGAGUAACGCGUAUCCAACCUGCCCACCACUUGGGGAUAACCUUGCGAAAGUAAGACUAAUACCCAAUGAUAUCUCUAGAAGACAUCUGAAAGAGAUUAAAGAUUUAUCGGUGAUGGAUGGGGAUGCGUCUGAUUAGCUUGUUGGCGGGGUAACGGCCCACCAAGGCUACGAUCAGUAGGGGUUCUGAGAGGAAGGUCCCCCACAUUGGAACUGAGACACGGUCCAAACUCCUACGGGAGGCAGCAGUGAGGAAUAUUGGUCAAUGGACGAGAGUCUGAACCAGCCAAGUAGCGUGCAGGAUGACGGCCCUAUGGGUUGUAAACUGCUUUUAUAAGGGAAUAAAGUGAGUCUCGUGAGACUUUUUGCAUGUACCUUAUGAAUAAGGACCGGCUAAUUCCGUGCCAGCAGCCGCGGUAAUACGGAAGGUCCGGGCGUUAUCCGGAUUUAUUGGGUUUAAAGGGAGCGUAGGCCGGAGAUUAAGCGUGUUGUGAAAUGUAGACGCUCAACAUCUGCACUGCAGCGCGAACUGGUUUCCUUGAGUACGCACAAAGUGGGCGGAAUUCGUGGUGUAGCGGUGAAAUGCUUAGAUAUCACGAAGAACUCCGAUUGCGAAGGCAGCUCACUGGAGCGCAACUGACGCUGAAGCUCGAAAGUGCGGGUAUCGAACAGGAUUAGAUACCCUGGUAGUCCGCACGGUAAACGAUGGAUGCCCGCUGUUGGUCUGAAUAGGUCAGCGGCCAAGCGAAAGCAUUAAGCAUCCCACCUGGGGAGUACGCCGGCAACGGUGCAACUCAAAGGAAUUGACGG
rnacentral:rRNA from 1 species